rnacentral:rRNA from 1 species
UACGGAAGGCAGCAGUGGGGAAUAUUGCACAAUGGGCGCAAGCCUGAUGCAGCCAUGCCGCGUGUAUGAAGAAGGCCUUCGGGUUGUAAAGUACUUUUCAGCGGGGAGGAAGGCGGUGGAGUUAAUAGCUUCACCGAUUGACGUUACCCGCAGAAGAAGCACCGGCUAACUCCGUGCCAGCAGCCGCGGUAAUACGGAGGGUGCAAGCGUUAAUCGGAAUUACUGGGCGUAAAAGCACACGCAGGCGGUCUGUCAAGUCGGAUGUGAAAUCCCCGGGCUUAACCUGGGAACUGCAUUCGAAACUGGCAGGCUAGAGUCUUGUAGAGGGGGUAGAAUUCCAGGUGUAGCGGUGAAAUGCGUAGAGAUCUGGAGGAAUACCGGUGGCGAAGGCGGCCCCUGGACAAAGCUGACGCUCAGGUGCGAAAGCGUGGGGAGCAAACGAGGAUUAGGAUACC